UCAGUCACUAACGGGAUGCAGACCAGGACACACAUUCAUGCUCAUGAAGAUUUAUGAGGCUGCUUCUGUUCUCCUCUCGUUUCAUUAACCCUGCUGGGGGCCAGUCACACGGGUGAGUCAGGUGAGACAGGGGCUGAGCAUUUGGGCAAUAUCCACUCCUCCCAAGGGUAGGAAGGUGGAUGAGGAGGGGAACAAGGCAUUUGCAGGAAGUAUUUCACUAGCAUGGUCCAGUUCAGAGCAGCUGCCUGAGCCUUACAUGCACUGACACAUUGCCUGCCCUCCCUGUGCAGGAAAGCACCACCAGAUUGACAUCUGUUGGUGGGAAUAUCCUAGAAAUAAUCUUUUCAGAGGUCUGCUACUCUGACAGAGAUCUAUGAUUUUUCAGGAGAUGACUCAGAAGAGCCCAGCUUGGUUUUGGAGGGCUGACACAGCGUCAGGAAGCGGAGUCACGGCUCGCUGCCUGGAUGGAAUUCUUUGAAGAUAUUGCUUCUCAGGAGAUGUGAGGGACAAAUUAUAAAGACACAACCCGAUCUUGCCAAAGUGUGUCUGAAAAUGGUGUUGUGCUUGAUCUGUGUGUCAAGUCUCUGCCCUUUGUAAAUGCCUCUUUUAAAGCUGUAUGUGUAACCCUGCAUUUACAGAGUACAGCCACCGUCACUUUGUGAGCAUCUGAUGAAAUCAGAUGAAAUCUCACAACAAUUACUUAAAUGGUGAGCCAAGAGCAAGUUUUUUUUCAGAUUAAUAGUGACAAAUACUGCCAGGAAAUUUGGCCUGAUAGCAGAGUAGCAGAGUAAAUAGUAAAUAGUCAUUUGAAAACUUCACACAGUAGAAAUAAUUUAAAUUCCUUUUCAUAUUUAUAUCAACAGUGAAGGAAUUCAAGGACAAGAAUGAGAGAUAAAAAUACUGUUUGGAAGAAUGGGUGGCCCAUUGCAUAUCUGAGCAAACAGAUCAGCUUCAGGUUGUUUUCAGGUUGAACUGGAACUGGAGAAGGCUGUAACCUUCCUCCUCCAUGGAAUCUGUCAGCAACUGCUACAUGGGGCUUCACAUUCAGCAAAUCCAAAAGGGGUCAGGCCCCAGGGGCAGCACCAGCUAUGUGUGCUGUCCUCAAUGGAGUCAGGUAGACCUGGGUGAUUUUAUCUGGGAUCUUGAGGUGAUUAUUUUCAUAUCAAGUUCCACCCUUACUGUCACUGAACGCUGAAGGACAACCCACUGAAUCCAGGAGGAGGAGGCAAUAUCCCACCUCUGAUCCCAGAAGACUUGGUUCUAAUUUCUCAGCUUCCAGAUUCUCAGAGACUGGACCAAGUUGCAGUGCCUGGUGCACAGUAGGUCCUUUGCUGUUUACCAGGAAAAGAGGAAGUGGGAGCCCCAGUAGCCCUUUAUGCCAAUUCUGGCAUCUUUGUGAAAAUGGUAUUUACUGUCAAGACCAUGCAGUGUUAGUUAGAUGGCAAAUCUGGGGAAGAGCAGCAUGGAGAACAGCCUGUGGCACUAAGAUGUCCUUGUGUCUGUGAAGGAAUGAGCUACAGGGAGCCACCUGAGGCUUCAGGACCUCGGGAGCUCUAGAGGAAGCAAUGGAGACUGCUAGCAGAUGAACAAACCAAAAUAUGUGUUUUCUCCAGAAAAAUGUGGAAACCUCUAGGAUAUGAUAAUGGGAAAGGGGAAAGAGUUAAAUUAAUGAAACUUGCCUUAUCAUCACAUGUCAGACGAAAGAAAAAAAAGGUGGAGAAAAUGAGGAUAGGGAUCUAAAUUUCAGGAUUUUACCUGCUAAUUCCAUUUACACAGACUAGAUUACUCCUUUACAACUGUGAAUUUGAUAAGGUCUAAUACAGGUGUUCUGUUGGGGCUUUUUUUUUUAGACUUCCAUGGCAUUAAUAAGGUUUUCUCUAAGGAAAUCAUGCCAGAGACAGGAUUUUUGACAUUACAUUAUCAGUCCCCUUAUCUGAGUUUUGGGUCCACUUCUAACCAAAUUUGGUUGUUCUUAAAAAUGAUAUGAAAAUAGCUGCGGAGAAGGGAGAAAGAACUUUAACUUUUUCUGAAGGAAAAACUGUAUUCAUUAGAGAAUCCUCUGAGGACUUCAAUUUGGAACAUAAAAUCUAUGAGAAAUAGUAUUUUAUUUUGCUGCUCAAAGAAGUAUUUGUCUUAACAUCUUAACAAGAUCUUUAAAAAGUUAUAUUUGAAGAGAGCUCUCUUUCCUCUCAUUUUGAGGCUAUUAAUCCCUUGUGCUGCAAAUGUUUAUGUGCAAGACUAGUCUUGGCAGAUCAUUAGGCUUUAAAGCUAUUCCCCAUUAAGCCCGUGUAUAAAUACUUGCAAUAUCAGGUCUUCGCUAAAACUAAAUAAAUGCUAGAAAGAGGUUUUUACUGUGGCUGGAAUGAAAUGUCUUCAGUGAUGGUUCAUCAUGCCCUACAAGUUUUGGGGGUUUUAAAGAAAGGAAAAAUGGUAACGUUCAGUCUGCUCACCAUACAGAGGUCUGAAGGGAUACUCUUUGUAAGGAGGCUUGCUGACCCUCUGCUCCAGCGUAAUAUAGCUGGGAAAAACAAACUCUGGAUAAAUUAAAGAAAUUUGAUUUUAUGAAUUAUGGUGGUAGAAAAAUGCCUGCAAAGUGCAAUUCUGUUUACAUAGUUUAAAAAAAUUGAUAAAUGUUCUAUGGCUAUUUACACAAGGGAAUGGAAGCUGAAUCAAAUGUUUAAAAAACCCCAAAACCAACAUAGUUUCUCUUGAUUAUUUAGAAAAUAUGAAAAAAUACCACACUGAUGUCAGACUGGUACUGUUUUUCAAGAUUUAAAAUUAGCAUUGAACAGUCUGUUCUGGGAGUCCAUGGUUUUGGUGCUUUUUUUUCCACCGCAGUCAGCCUGGAUUGACUCGCGCUGCUUCUCUGUGCUUCGAGUUCUGUGGCUGCUCAGUCAGGAAUGCAAAACUACAAUGAACAACAGGGAGGAGGAAUUAUUAGGAUUGUUUACAAAUUUCGAUUUGCAUGAGGGAGUGGAGAUGUUGACAGUUAUACUUUGAGAAUCAAGCUACCGCAGCUGGAUAAACAUGUACUGGAUAUCUCAAGGCCUUGCUUUCUCCCACUCCCAUGGCAGAGAAUGAGCCAAAUGCAAGCCCAAGCUAAUCUGAAAAAUAAUAGAAGAGCUUUCAACAAAACCUAUUUAUCUAUGAGGUCAAAAAACCUCAGCCUAGUUACACUCCUAGAGAGGCUCAACUUGACAACAUGGUCAUACUAUCUCAGGGGCUGGGAGCUGUAGUGUUACAGACCACCCAGAAUUACUGCUCCCACAAGGCAAUGAUAAUGGUGCUAUGAUUUCACUGCCUACAGACCUGAUCUAACACUUAAUAGCUUGGGUAGCCAUGGGAAACCUGCUGCAUUUCUGUGUUUCAUGGAUCACUUUUCCUGGGUACUUUUUAGGCACUGAUAAAACUGUGUUUAUAGAUUGGAAAAGUAAAGAAGGGUUGUAAGAAAAUAAAUGAAUAAGCAAAUUGGUAUUGGCAUGCAGAGCUUCAGCAAAGGUAGCUGUGAUAAAUGGACACGUUUUACCUUCUUAGUCUUCGGUGUGUUUGACACACCAGAAUUCUGUGAAAUUCUUUAUAGAAGUAGAAUAGCUGAUGGUUUUUAUGGUUAAAAUAUAACAUUGUAUUCUCUGGAAUGAAAAUGUGAAUGAAGCCCAAAUGCAAAGGGCUCUCAGUUUUCUGAAUCUGUAGACAAACUUCCUUGGGCCUUUGGGUGCAUCAGCAAUGUAAGUAUGAGUGCAGUCUACAGGAAAUAAGCACUUGUGAAAGCUGUUCUGACCUUACAUUGAGAGAAGUUUGUAGAAAUAAAUUCCCAUAAAUCUAUUCCAACUGCUGAAUGAUCUUCGAGUAGAUGAACCAUUCCUUAUGUAGGUCUGUUUGAAAGAAAACAACAAAACAAACUCAAACACAAAGCCCAAACAAACUUGAGAAUGUGUUUGUAGAGGUUAGGUUUCUAUUCUUGCUUCCUCUGAAGUCAAAAGAAAUUCUGCCAUAGGUUUGAAUGGGAGAAAAUUUGGCUUAAGAAAGAAGCAGUUUUCAUGGGAAAAUAUUUGUGCACAUGGAGAUCUGUUUGUGUAAGUGCUGAUUUACAUAUUCAAGUGACUGUUUGCAUAAAGAAGUUUAUUUGGGCCCAGCUGUUCAUAACCACUGCAAGGUGCAUGUAAGGCUCCAUUUCUCUCUUACUGUUUGAAAAAGUCUGUUACCAUCCAGCUGGAGCUGCAAAGUAACAUGAUUUCUUUUGUCUUUUUCUUUUUGCCUUCUGAGCUGUCUCACAUCCCAAAUCCAAUAAGAUAGCUAUGAAUUAUGGGAACUAUCACAUUGAUUUCCAGAUGAAGAAGUUUUAGUGUUGAAGAAAGACCCAGAUAUUUGGUCCGGUUUGAAAAUGGGUCCCAGUGCUUCUGUUUGAAACAGCACAGGAUGGGAGAAAUGGCAUCUACCCCCCAGUACCAGACUGGGCACCAUCUCCAGUUUCUGUUCUUUGUCACCUCCCCCAUCUCAGCCAAGUCCUGGGUGAAGUGUCCUGCUCUGCUCUCCUGGGCACAGCUGAAACAUCCCCCAUUUCCCAUGAGCUGUGCAGUUUGGGAAUGCCCAAUACAGCUGAAUCCAGCAAACCAUGUGUGUGUCAUUCUCUGUGUGUUGUCUGUUUUGAUGGGUUGCUUGGAAAGCCUUAAGAAGUUUGUAUGUUUUCCAGCCAUCUGAUAUUGCCCUGGAUGUGGAUAUUCUCUUCUAAGGGGAGACACUGAGCUGCCCAUGCCCUAAAACACCAAGGAAAUGUCCCUGGCUGAGAUCUCAGUAAUUUGAGUGCAGUUUUUGCUCAGAGAGUGCAGCGCUAGUGCUGCAUGUCCUGAGAUCUGAAAGAAACCCCUUAAAGCCUGUAUUGGAAAGGCUAUUAAAAAUACUUCAAGAUGUGAGAGGAAUUAAAUAAUUACUGGGGAAAAAAAAUCCCAUUUUGUUAUCUCUGGAUCAGCCUAGGUUUUAUCACCUUUCCCCCCUGAUUUUAGAAUGGGGCACAACUGGUAGAAAAGGCAGUUGUUCCAUGGGAAACAUCCAUUUUGAACUUACAAAAAUAUGUUUAUUUGUGAUCCUAGGAAAGUCUUUGAUAAAUUCAGUCCAUUUCUGGGAAAGAUUGCUGUAUUCUUAUUGCACUGACUGAGGGCUACAUUUGAUGUGUUCAAAGAUUCUCUAUUGCUUUAUAGAAAGCUCCAAGUCUGUUUUUUGACUUAGGAGUUCCUGAGGCAGAUUUUCAUGGGUAAAGUUCACUGCUGAGAGAAGAAUGCUGUGUGUGCCUUGAACACCAGCAAGGAAUCAGCUGUGUCUUCCCCCCUUGCUGGUGCAGGUUCCCAGCCCUGGCAGAGCAGCUCAUUUGCCUCACAUCCCAAGGCUGUACAAACACAAUGUGUUCAAGUUUUGUCUUUGCUUAUGUGUUUGGUAGCUUUUUUCUAAUGGGAAUGAUAGAGCCCCUUCAUUCCAAUUACCUGCUCUUGCUGUUGAUUUCUCAUUUUUCAAAGCAGUGGUUAUAAAGAGGGAGAUGGAUCUUAUCCCUGUGGUAGCAGAAGCUGAUGAGCUUUGAAGGGGCAGAGGGACUCUGCAACCACUGCAAACAGUGCAGUGCUGGGUGACCUCUGCUUUUUCAGAAGCAUCACUUUGUGUCCAAGGAAAGAAAUGUGCUGCCCUGCUCAAGUAUUCAAGGAUAAUAAGGUCCUAACCAUAAGUCCUCAGGGGAUAUUGUACCUCUACCAGACACCCAAACAUGGACACUGGCCUUUUUUAAUGUACUGGAAGAUGAAUUUAAAUUUAAAUUAUAGCUUGGACAUUAAAUUAAGCCACUGCGUAACUGUAACUACAUAAAGGACUUCUUUAAAGAAAAGAAAUAGAUGCAUCUACUCCUGUGAAAUAUUUUAGCAUUUUUCCCUCUGAAAACCAGGUUUUGCCUUGGGAAGGAGAGCUAUUUUUAUCUUCAGAAAUCUGUUAUUUAUCUUGUAAUCAUAAGAGAUGCAAGUACGGAUCUCAGUUGACUUUCAAGUCACAUGAAAGUGUCCAAAAUAUUUGCAGUGAAAUUUUCCACUAGGAAACAGCUUUCAAAAUUUCAUCUAAUGAUGGAAAACAAUCUGUCUUGCCAAAACUUUCCCUACACGUCUAACAGGAUUUUAGUUUAAAAAGUCUAUUUCCUACUUAAUAGCAGAACAGCUGUACUUGGAAUGCAAGGUGUUUUCAGAUUUUGCUGUAUGGGAAACAUUGCAUUCAAACACUUCUGCAGUAAAUGUAACUGUUAUGCUUAUCUGUUUGUCAAAUGUAAUAUUAUUUCUCUACUAAUAUUUGUCUGUUCGUGGUUUCAUGAUUUCUUCUUGGUUAUACCAAUACCUGAGAAAUGGCCACAUAAAUGUGAAAUUUAAAAUUUAGUUGUGAUGCAAGAUAAUAGUAUCAUUUUUGAAAGCA